CGUAGGGGCGAGCGUUGUCCGGAAUCACUGGGCGUAAAGAGCGUGUAGGCGGCCCGGUAAGUCUGCUGUGAAAACCCGGGGCUCAACCCCGGGCGUGCAGUGGAAACUGCCGGGCUAGAGGGCGGCAGAGGCGAGUGGAAUUCCCGGUGUAGCGGUGAAAUGCGCAGAUAUCGGGAGGAACACCAGUAGCGAAGGCGGCUCGCUGGGCCGUCCCUGACGCUGAGACGCGAAAGCUAGGGGAGCGAACAGGAUU
rnacentral:rRNA from 1 species